CUGCCAUGGCCAGCUGGGUGCUCUCCAAGUCAGGGGUGCUGUGCGAGGAGGGCGUGGCUUCUGCUCCUCUGUGUCCCAGCCACUCCUCCUGUACUCAGGCCCCAGCUCCUCUGUUCUGCCCAGUGGCCUGGCGCAGGAAAGGUGACCCAGUAGUUCAGCCUGUCCCAGCUGCCUGCCCCAGCACCAUCCCAGACCCCUUUCCCUGGGGCCCACCUUGGCCCUGAGGAAGGCCAGAGCUCGGCUGCUGUUCUCCAGGAAGUGCACACGCAGGCGGCCCCGGCUCGGGGGUGGCAGGGCCUCCCCUGAGAUGAGCUCCAGCAGCCGCAGGAGGUGGAUGCCGUCAGCCAGCUCUGUGUACAGGUUCCGGAUCUUGAUGCCCGCCUGGGGAGGGGACAGGGGUAAGUAUGGGGUCAGCCCAGCCUCACCUGUCCUCCCAUCCUGGGACCUGAGAGGUACGACCCAGAGCAGCUGCUUUGGAAGAAGGAGCUCUGGCCUCAGCUUGGCCUCAGGCAGAUGACCCCACAGCUCACCCCGGAGGCCCACUGGCCAGAGCUGGGGGCCUGGUAUGGGUGGGCUGUGGGUCACAGCUGGCUAUACUCACCUGGCCGCACUGGAAGACGUUAUUGAUCCACUUGGUGAAAGUCUUCUCCUGCAUCUGCAUGUGCCGGGCCUGUAGCUUGCGAAUGUGGCCCGUCUCGUACUGAGAGUCCAUGGUGAGACUUGGACUGGGCGGGACCCGGAGUUCUGUGCUGGGCCUCCUGCUGCGGUGCCCUGCAGCCCCGAGGAGCUCCCGGGGACUGUGGGGCUGACCAGCCAUCAGCCCUGCAGACUUUGGGGAUGAGGAGCUGCUGGAUGGCUCCCUAAACCUGGAGGGCAUGCAGAUUAGGGGAUGAUGUGAAUGGAGAUGGCCCCUCUACCAGGGGCCUGGGGUCCCGCCUUGCCAGACUGUCCUCACAUUUCAUGGGGGUUGCAGCUUGGAGCCCAGCCAGGUAAGGGCCAGUGCUUCUGGUCCCCUGUGCUUGAAUGGCCCAGGGCCCCCUUUGCCCCACCCCACCUUCCAGAUUCUUCUUCUCAGAGCCCCUGCUGCCAGGUCCCUCCACCACAGUGACUGGGACAGGUGGAAGGAAGACAGGAAACUGCUUACCUUGGUGAUGCCUGGGUCCCACAGAGACGGCUCUGCUGGACGGAUGGAGAUGGUAGAUAGCAGGGGCUGCUUACCUUGGUGAUGCCUGGGUUCCACAGAGGCGGCCCAGCUGGACGGAUGGAGAUGGCAGAUAGCAGGGGCUGUGGAGGGAGGGAGAGGGACAUCAGGAGAGGCCAAGGCUGGAGCAGGGCUGCACCACAGCCCUCCCCUUGAGCCAGCGUGCUGGGGUGACGGCACACAGGCGGCAUUGUCCUCCCACCUGCCACAGGGCGUGGCCCAGACAGGGAGGGGGUGGUUCAGGAAUGCUCCAGGGCCAUUGCCAGAUGAUGUCCUCCUUCAUCAUCCUCCCUUCCCCGCCAGCAACUUCUCCAACUCCAGGUGGGGGUCCUGGCUCCCAGGACGCAGAGGCCCAUGGAGCGGCCCUGCCACCGCAUGGGGUGCUGCAGUCUGCGUAGGAGGUACCAAAGGGCAGAGCCUCUGUGGGAAGCCUGUGGACGCACUUCCCAAUCUGAGACUGCCCUCUGUACCCUCUUGGGGCCUCUCUGUGAGCACCCAGGGCGAGGGGAUGAGGGAGCGUCCUGGGCCGUGGUCUUCUCAUUCACCCCCAGGGAACAGCCCAUAGACUGAGGGCCUCACAGACCCUGGGCUUGGCUUUCCAGGCCCUGCCAGAGUGCAGCCUGCCUAGCCCGGGGCUGAAGGGUAGGCUCCCUGGAGGAAGGGGUGACCUGGAACUGCGAGGGCUGUGGAGUCUCCUCCAAAAUUAGAGACACGGUGUUAACUCUGGGCUCCACAGAGCUGGCCGUGGCCCGGGGCUCGGAGGCAGGGGUGCAGAGGGAGCUGGUGGGCGCCCAUCCCUUCCUCCCCGAGCAGCCGUGGACUACAUGCCAGAGUGAAGGCGAGUUCUAAUUCUGGGGGUCUCACCCGCCUCUGGCUAAACUCAGGGUAGCAGUGUGGGCUGGGGUGUGUGUGUGUGGGUGUCUUCCAGCGGCCCUGGAGCCUCUGAAGCGACAGCCCGCUCCUCAGGGAGGCGCUCCUGGCAGCCACAGCCCACAGCAGGACAGCCGCUCAGCGCGCCCUUGAGAGCUGGGCUAGGGAUGAGUCACACUUGAACCGCCUGGGCCCACUGCAGGCAGUCAGGGGUGACGCUGAGAGGUGCCGUGGUCUCGGGUGGGGUGCGGCUUCCUGCGUCUGAGAGACGCUUCCUCUCCUGCUGUCCUCUCCCUGCCAGGCCCCUUCUGCAGCGGCUGGCUUCCAGACACCCUGCGUCCCUCCCUUGCUCGCAGCAGUUGCUGUGGCGGUCCUCCCGUGCACCCCCCCUUCUGCCCUCACUGCCCCUGGGGGUCCUCAUCACGGACCCCCUAACUCGGCAUCCUGGACACCACCACCCCGCACCUUUCCACAGUGCAGCUCUGCUCGUGCCUGUGAAGCCUCCCACAGCCUGGGAAGGAAAAUCCAGACUUGCCAGACCUUGCCUCAGCCAGGCCUUGGAAGCCUGCCAGCUUACCUAACCAGGCUAGUCUGCCCCCCUCACUCUGGGUGCUCUCCAUGGGCCACUCACCAUUUCCUGAGCAGGACCAGAGCUCUCCUGCCCCAAGGCUGGGCUUCAGCUGCUCUUUCAGCUUUGAACGUCCUUUCCCAUUCUCCAUCAUCCACAUUCACCUAUCCUGCCUGCCCCAGUUAAAAUCCUGUUUCUUCUAGGAAGUCCCUCAUCCCACCCGCUUACCCCAGGGAGACUGAGCUUGUUCCUUCUCCUAGUAAGACCCUCAGCCCAUGGAGUCCUGUGUGAUGUUGUGAGCGUGGGAGGACAGACUGAACUGCUCGGCCCGUGGAGUCCUGUGUGAUGUUGUGAGCGGGGAGGACAGACUGAACUGCGUGGUGCUUCGCACAUAGACCUCAACAGGGAUUGGCAUUUUGAAGCUGUUGGCGGGGGCUGUGGACUGCUUUUCUUCCUUUCUAGCUCAACGGCAGCUAAAGCCACUGCAUACAAUGCAAGGACUGGCUCCUGUUUGGCCACGACUGAUUGCAGCCCCUGGUGAAAUGAGAACCCUGUGGGUCGGAACAAAGUUUGGAUUAUUUAUGUUGCAAAGACAGGGUCUUCUUAGGUUGCCCAGGCUGGUCUUGAACUCCUGGCCUCAACGAUCUUCCCACUUCAGCCUCCUGCAUUGCUGGGAUUAUAGGAAGAGUUGGGGCUCACAGGCACACCCUCUCCCUAACUCUUCUCCCCC
rnacentral:lncRNA from 1 species